UGAAGCUUCGGCAGAGAUCAUGAGUAAACUUAGUGGCGGACGGGUGAGUAACGCGUGGGCAACCUGGCCCCGUACCGGGGGAUAGCAGUUGGAAACGACUGAUAAUACCGCAUAAGCGCACGGUGUGGCAUCACACAGUGUGAAAACUCCGGUGGUACGGGAUGGGCCCGCGUCUGAUUAGCCAGUUGGCAGGGUAACGGCCUACCAAAGCGACGAUCAGUAGCCGGCCUGAGAGGGCGGACGGCCACAUUGGGACUGAGACACGGCCCAAACUCCUACGGGAGGCAGCAGUGGGGAAUAUUGCACAAUGGGGGAAACCCUGAUGCAGCGACGCCGCGUGAGUGAAGAAGUAUUUCGGUAUGUAAAGCUCUAUCAGCAGGGAAGAAAGGCUCGCAAGAGAGAUGACGGUACCUGACUAAGAAGCUCCGGCUAAAUACGUGCC
rnacentral:rRNA from 1 species